rnacentral:rRNA from 1 species
GACAGAGGGUGCAAACGUUGCUCGGAAUCACUGGGCGUAAAGGGCGCGUAGGCGGGAAUGUAAGUCGGGCGUGAAAUCCCUAGGCUCAACCUAGGAACUGCACUCGAAACUGCGUUUCUUGAGUAUCGGAGAGGAAAGCGGAAUUCCUGGUGUAGAGGUGAAAUUCGUAGAUAUCAGGAGGAACACCAGUGGCGAAGGCGGCUUUCUGGACGGUAACUGACGCUG